ACGUAGGGGGCAAGCGUUGUUCGGAAUUACUGGGCGUAAAGGGCAUGUAGGCGGUUUAGUAAGCUUGGCGUGAAAGACCACAGCUCAACUGUGGGGUUGCGUUGAGAACUGCUGAACUUGAGUUACGGAGAGGGAGCUAGAAUUCCUGGUGUGGGGGUGAAAUCUGAAAAGAUCACGAAGAAUACCGAUGGCGUAGGCAAGCAACUGGACUAGAUCUGAGUGUGAGCUGCGAAAGUGUGUGGAUAGGUGUG
rnacentral:rRNA from 1 species